CUAAAAGCAUGGACAUGUUGCCGCCUGGACCAGCGGAGUGCUCUGGAAGGAGGGGAACAAGAAGCAUGUCAUUCCUCGAUACGGUCGCGCUUCGGCUUCAGGUCGCUGAGGCAAAAUGAACAGCAGAACUGGCCUGGGCUACACUGGACCCCAGCAGCACACUACAGAGCAUGUACUACAAGCAGGGUUACAACAGAGGCCAGAGAGAGAUGGACCUUGACUUUGUUGUGCUCACAAAUGAAAAAUACGAUUAAUAUUCCUGAAAGAGAAAUUCGGGAGAGAGACGCUACAGGCAGCCCCAGUGGACCAUGUGCAAACUGAGACACAGACAUUAGAAACUGCUCAAGGUAGGCCAGGCACAGUGGCUCACACCUGUAAUUCCUGAACUUUGGGAGGCUGACGGGGGAGGAUGGCUUGAGUCCAGGAGCUCGAGACCAGCCUGGGAAACACGGUGAAACCACGUCUCUACAAAAAUACAAAAAAAUUUUUAAGAAAAAGAAACUGUCCAAGGUUAUAGAACUCUCAGGAGGCAGAGAAGCUGAGCUCAGAACCCAGGCAAUCUGGCUCCAAAGUCCAUGCCCUUACCCACCACACCCUGCUUUCCUGAGGCAGGAAGCCUGGAACAGUAACAGAACUGCAGCCAGUGAGGCCGAGGCCACGAGGGCAGGGGCAUGAGGAGAGGCAGAUGCCAGCAUCAGCGGGACCCUCAGCCCCAAGGCCGCAAGAGCACAUUCAGAAUUCGAUAUUUUAUACAAAGAGCCACGUGAAGCCACUGAAGAGUUUACAGCGAGGGGAGAGAGAUACGGUCUUAUUUACAAUUUUCAAAAGAGGCCACCGUGGCUACCGGCCCCUGGAGUGCUGUUACCGGCCUUUGACAGCCUGCGGCCCCUUUAUCACCAGAGCGCUUGACAGCCCCCUGUUGGGAGAGGAUAGAAUGUUCUGAGCUGGGACACAGGCUUUACACAAUCUUGUCAUCUGCUUAGCCACUUGUUAGUAGAACAGGCACAGAUCCAGCAAUAUUCUUGUCACCACAACGCUGGGAGCGAAUCCGGAUUAAUGGAGGGACACUGCCAGGGCCAGGGGAGACAACACGCGCAGGGUCACGGACACGGGGUCCAAGGCCAGGCACCUGCGAGUGAGGCCAGGGCUGCUUCUCCAGGUUACUUGGGCAAAUUGCUCCACCUCCCUGGGUGUCGGUUUUCUCCUAUAAAACGGGGUUAAUAAUAGCGCCUCUGUCCAGAGCUGGCGAGAGGAUUAUGCAUGAUGGAAUAUGAAGCUGCUCAGAGAGCCGGCUCCGGGAAGUCCUUGAUGGCCAUUGCUGUUGUCUGAAGGUGCUGUACCCCUAAGUGGACAGGCCUUCUCUGAGUGGGGCAAAUACCUCUGACUGGGUGGUAGAUGUGCAUUUUCACAUGCUCUGGUCCUGCUGCUCCUGCCCAGAAGCUCCGUGGGUGCAGGCCUGUGACCAUCUUGCUCAGUAAGGUGACCUGUGUGCUUCAUGUCUGCUGAGUGUGGGAGACAGCAAGGGGCUGAGAGAAGCUGCAGCAGGACUGGGCCUGGCAUGUGGGGGACUCCUUUAGCAGACCUGUGUUCAGCUAGGAAGGUCCUACGAGCCCAGCAACUAUCAGGAGGUCAACAAAAUCAUCCUCAUCUCAAAGAGCCAGUAGUCUGGCUCCUCCACAGAUUUUGUCCCCAGGAGGAGACUCCUGGGAGUACUAAUGGUGCGGUGAGAGGUGGGAUGUGUAGCAAAACUAGGGACACAGAGAGGCCACUGUCUCCAACACACUGCACUGCUGAGGGAGCCCAGUGCUACAGUGACAAAUAAGGCUGAGGAGUACAGGAGGCAAACACAUCCAUUUAGGGGCCAGGUGCGGGGGCUCACGCCUGUAAUCCCUAAACUUUGGAAGGCCAAGGCAGGAGGAUUGCUCAAGGCCAGGAGUUCGAGACCAGCCUGGGCAACAUAGCAAUACCCUGUCUUUACAAAAGAAAACAAAAUCCACUUGGGAUAAAAUUCUGCUUCAGGAAGAUUCUCAUCAUUCAGGCCUCAGCUCAAACAUCAGCCUCUAGAGGUACCACCCUAUCUCACCUUCCCAGUUCCACACUGUCACAUUCUCCUACGAUAACCACAAUCUGAAACUAUCAACUUCAUUCAUUCAUUAGCUUCCUCUCUUUGUCCACCCCUCACCCUCCCUGGUAAGCUGGUAAGCUCGUGGUAAGCUCCAUAAAGGCAAGGACCAUGUCUGUGUUGUUCACCACGAUGCCUAACACAGAGCCUGCCUGUGCUUGAUAAAGUAGGUGAAAUGGAUGCUGCAGCCAGGCACGGUGGCUCACGCCUGUAAUCUUAGCACUUUGGGAGGCCGAGGCAGGUGGAUUGCCUGAGCUCAGGAGUUCGAGACCAGCCUGGGCAACACGGUGAAACCCCGUCUCUACCAAAAUUUAAAAAAAAAUUAGACGGGUGUGGCAGCAUGCGCCUGUAAUCACAGCUACUCGGGAGGCUGAGGCAGGAG
rnacentral:lncRNA from 10 species